ensembl:lncRNA
AGCAGGUGGAGCUAGAUUCCUAACCGUGCCGAAAUGUUGGCCAAUCAGAAGUCUAGAAGCCUCGGUGGGAAAAAGUAAACAAAGCUGCGGCAUAGAAGCAGAACCGAGUCGUAUGUGUGGAGGGACAGUAACUGUGUGUAUAUGUAAGCAUUUAAACACUGCAGAGAGUAGAAUUAACAGUAACAGUAUUGUAGAAAUUCAUUUCACCGAAACAAUAACGUGGCGCAGUGUGACGCAUGCACCAGUUUAUUGUAUUUCCAGACUUGCUUUCGGCACAAUUUACAGUGCACGCUACUCUGUUUCUUGUCAGACUUGAAAUAGCCGAAAUACCUUCACACUACGGAACUUCUAUGGCUCUUCCGUUCGACAAUCUCUCCGGCAUUGGAACCAUCAUCUGUUUUCUCUUCGGUCACGCUCGGUUGAUUUUUCUAGUCGGCACACUCAUUUCCUCCAUUACGCGCUGGCUCCAUUACCCGCUGGCUGCUUCCCAAACAAACACACGUGCGGCUUGGCACUUGUGCUGUACGUAACAAGUCACGCGGACGUGACGCUGCGGCUGUGAUUGGUUCGGCUCUGCGCUACUUAAUUUGGAUUGGCUGACCUUUUUUUUUUUUUUUUUUGAGGACAAGAGCGGCGAAGUCUAUCGCGAUAGCUUAAUUUCUCAAUCGAGUAAAAGUUAUAUCGCGAUACAUAUCGUUAUCGUUCUAUCGCCCAGCUCUAGUCUGUUCAUAAUUUUUAUGGACAGAAUUUCUAGACAUAGCCAGGUGGAAGUUGGAAAAGGUUUCCACUUUGGUGGUCUCAGAAUUUCAGCUCUUGCUCGUAGGGUGUCAUCUUAUUGUUGGGGUUUCUCUGUAUUGUUGUAGGGUCCUUACCUUACAACAUUAAGUGCCUCCAGGCAACUGUUGUUGUUUUUUUGAACUUGUAAAUAAAAUGGAAUUAAAUGGAUGGAUGGAAAUUUGUUCAGUUCAUAAAUUUGUCUAUAGUCUUUUUUUGUUGGCUGUUAUCAGCAAUGCAGAUUAAAAUUCAAGCACUAAGCUCAUUGGUGCUCUUUGUUUAGAAUAUUAGAAGACCAGUUGCUCAUUCAGAGAUUAUGUUAGUGUGAGUAAAAGUCCCUAUUUCUCUUAGAUAACUACAUUGUAUAUUGUAUUUGUAUUGUCUGUUGUAAAAUGCCAGCUGGCGUCACUAACAUUUUAAAUCUCUUCUAUAAAAAAUAUCCUAAACUCACCCUCUUCGUAGAGUGUACCACUUCUUGGAUAACCAAAUUGAGAUCCCUGGGGCUAAACCCCUUGUGACUUUCUAUCAAUUUCAUAGGCAAAGCUGGAAAAGUGGGCAGAUGUGUCAUGCCAUGCUCAGGGCUACCCAGCUUCCUCUUUCAUUUCCUGCUGAGGGCUACUUUGAAGCGGCUUGUAGAUGUGCAAGUUCCUUCAAAUGAAUUUGACUGCCUUAUCUGAAAUUCAUUUGGACAGAGUACCUGUAAAAUGGAUAAGGAAGAUCUGCACUGUAUUUCUGGGGGGGAACAAAAGACAUAUAUUUAUAUGUUCCAGUAAGAGGCUUUUCUCUUUUUUGAUUGGAAGAGAAGAUUUCUGAAGGAAAUGAAUAGUUUAGCCUAGACUGUAGAUUACAAACAAUCCGAGAAAUACAGCAUGUUUUGUUUUAUUUUUUUAUUUUUUAGGUUAAUCGUUGUACAAGGGCCAUUCUUUCAUGGGCCAGCAAUUUUAAUGCUCGUGUAUUAUCUUUAAGCUUAAAGAAGAAAGAUCUUGAUUCUAUCUAAGAUUGAUUAUACUCUUUCACAAACUUUCAAUAUCCUACAGAAAACUGUUAUUGUGAAAAAAUUAUAAACAGACCAGAUUUAAACUGGAACAUGCCACAUUGGACACGCCAUCAGGCAAUCAAUCUAGGUCUGGACCACACAUUACUGAUGCUGUACUAUGAUACCAUCUAUAUAUAUCUAGAGUAAAAAGAUCUCAUUAUAUGAUUUCACAUUAUAAACGUAGUAACUGAGUAACACACAAAUUUUAAUUUUCGACUGAGAUGGAUUGAGAGAUUUUGACUGAUAAAGCAUACUGAAAUAACUUUGUGGUAUAUUGUGUUACAUUUACUGAAAAGAAAUGACUUUAGAUGGUAAUUGUCUUGAGAAAUACAUGAAAUCUGAUUGUGCUGGAAAAAGCACUGCAUCAUUGUACUGCUUGUGGUGCUUUUCCUCAGACAAAUGCAAUGAGAGAGAAGAGAGAGAGAAAGAAAAGAUUAAGGUCCUAAUCCAAUCUAAUUCAGA